GGCAGCGCCCGGCCCGCCCCGCGGCACCUGGGGCCGCCCCGCCGCCCCCUCCUCCUUCUCCUCCUCCUCCUGCACCUCCCCGCUCCCUCCUCCCUCCCUCUUCCUCCUCUUCCCCCUCCCGCAGACGCGGAUGCUCUCGGGCAGCGGUGGCCGCGGUGCGGGGCGGUGGGGGCAUGGCGGCCCCGGACAGCUGCGUGAAGGUGGCGGUGAGGAUCCGUCCCCAGCUGUCCAAAGAGAAAAUCGAGGGAUGUCACAUCUGCACCUCUGUGACGCCCGGUGAGCCCCAAGUGCUGCUGGGGAAGGACAAAGCCUUCACCUAUGACUUUGUCUUUGACCUGGACACGUGGCAGGAGCAGAUCUACACAACGUGCGUGGGCAAGCUCAUUGAAGGCUGCUUCGAGGGCUACAAUGCCACCGUGCUGGCGUAUGGCCAGACUGGUGCGGGAAAGACAUACACCAUGGGCACUGGCUUCGACAUGAGCAUCUCUGAGGAUGAGCAGGGCAUCAUCCCGCGGGCCAUCGGCCACCUCUUCAGCGGCAUUGAGGAGCGCAAGCGGGCGGCACAGAGUCAGGGGGUGGCAGUGCCUGAGUUCAAAGUCAGCGCCCAAUUCCUGGAGCUCUACAAUGAAGAGAUCCUGGACCUGUUUGACAGCACCCGUGACCCAGAUGCACGUCACCGCAAAUCCAACAUCAAAAUCCACGAGGAUGCCAGCGGGAGCAUCUACACCACGGGGGUCACAUCGCGGCUCAUCAGCUCCCAGGACGAGCUCAUCCAGUGCCUGAAGCAGGGAGCUCUUUCCCGCACCACUGCCAGCACCCAGAUGAAUGUGCAGAGCUCCCGGUCCCACGCCAUCUUCACCAUUCAUCUGUGCCAGAUGAGAGUGUGUGCCCGCCCGGAGCUGGUGAACGGGGAGGUGACCGGCCUGCCGGAUGGAGCCCAGCCCACCACUGAGUACGAGACCCUCACAGCCAAGUUUCACUUUGUGGACCUGGCUGGCUCGGAGAGGCUGAAGAGAACGGGCGCUACUGGCGAGAGAGCCAAGGAAGGCAUCUCCAUCAACUGUGGGCUGCUGGCGCUGGGGAAUGUCAUCAGUGCCCUUGGAGACCAGAGCAAGAAAGCUGUGCAUGUGCCCUACCGCGACUCCAAGCUCACCCGCCUGCUGCAGGAUUCCCUCGGUGGCAACAGCCAAACCAUCAUGAUCGCUUGUGUGAGCCCAUCUGACCGCGACUUCAUGGAGACCCUGAACACUCUCAAGUAUGCCAACCGGGCUCGCAACAUCAAGAACAAGGUGGUGGUGAACCAGGACAAGACAAGUCAGCAGAUCAGUGCCCUGCGGGCUGAGAUCGCCCGUCUGCAGAUGGAGCUGAUGGAGUACAAGGCAGGCAAGAGGGUCAUUGGGGAGGACGGUUCAGAGGGCUACAGCGAUUUGUUCCGUGAGAACGCCAUGCUGCAGAAGGAGAACAGCGCCCUGCGCAUGCGGGUGAAGGCCAUGCAGGAGGCCAUCGACUCCAUCAACAACAGAGUCACCCAACUGAUGAGCCAGGAGGCCAACCUGAUGCUGGCCAAGGCAGGUGAUAGCAAUGAGGCCAUCGGUGCUCUCAUCCAGAACUACAUCCGAGAGAUUGAGGAGCUGAGGACGAAGCUUCUGGAGAGUGAAUCCAUGAAUGAAUCCUUGCGUCGCAGCCUCUCGCGCCUCUCUGCCCGUCCCCCCUACUCUGUGGGCUCAUCCCCAGCUCCCGGCCUGGCUGGGCUGGGCAGCCCUGCUGCCCCUGUGGAAACCGAGGCCUCUGACGUCCUGCGACGGGCCAAGCAGGACCUGGAGCGGCUGAAAAAGAAAGAGAGGAGGCAGCGGAGGAAAAGCCCAGAGAAGGAAGCAUUUAAGAAGCGGCCAAAGCUGCAGCAGGACAACGGGGAGGAGACGGAUGAGAAUGAAGCAGAAGAGGAGGAGGAGGAGGAGGAACAGGAUGAGAGUGGCUGUGAGGAAGAGGAUGGACGUGAGGAUGAAGAUGAGGACUCAGGCAGUGAAGAAAGCCUGGUGGACUCUGACUCGGAUGCAGAGGAGAAGGCGGUGAAUUUCCAGGCUGACCUUGCAGAUUUGACUUGUGAGAUAGAGAUCAAGCAGAAGCUGAUCGAUGAGCUGGAGAACAGCCAACGGCGCCUGCAGACGCUCAAGCACCAGUAUGAGGAGAAGCUGAUCCUGCUGCAGAACAAGAUCCGGGACACGCAGCUGGAGCGGGACCGGGUCCUGCAGAACCUCAGCACCAUGGAGUGCUACACAGAGGAGAAGGCCAACAAGAUCAAAGCAGACUAUGAGAAACGGCUGAAGGAGAUGAACAGGGACCUGCAGAAGCUGCAGGCUGCCCAGAAGGAACAUGCUCGCCUGCUCAAGAACCAGUCCCGCUACGAGCGGGAGCUGAGGAAGCUGCAGGCAGAGGUGGCUGAGAUGAAGAAAGCAAAGGUCGCGCUGAUGAAGCAGAUGCGGGAGGAGCAGCAGCGGAGACGACUGGCAGAGACGAAGAGGAACAGGGAAAUAGCACAGCUCAAGAAGGAGCAGCGCCGGCAGGAGUUUCAGAUCCGGGCUCUGGAGUCUCAGAAGCGGCAGCAGGAAAUUGUGCUGCGAAGGAAAACUCAGGAGGUCUCAGCGCUGCGCCGUCUCGCCAAGCCCAUGUCAGACCGAGUUGCAGGCAGGACGAGCCAGAAGCCAGCCAUGCUGGACUCUGGUGCAGAGGUCUCAGCCAGCACCACCUCGUCUGAGCCAGAGUCCGGCGCUCGCUCCGUCUCCAGCAUCGUGCGCCAAUGGAACAGGAAAAUCAAUAACUUCCUGGGAGACCCCUCACCUUCUGUCAAUGGGGCUCGGCCAGUCAGGAAGAAGUUCCCCAAGAAGGGAUCGAGUCAGACCUUCAGUAAAGCUGCCCGCCUCAAGUGGCAGUCGCUGGAGCGGCGCAUCUUCGACAUCGUGAUGCAGAGGAUGACCAUCGUCAACCUGGAGGCUGACAUGGAGAGGCUCAUCAAGAAACGAGAGGAGCUGGCACUGCUGCAGGAGGCCCUGCUGGGCAAGAGGGCGAAACUGCAGGCAGAGAGCCCGAAGGAGCAGAAGGGGCUGCAGGAGCUGAACGAGGAGAUUGAGGUGCUGGGGGCCAACAUUGACUACAUCAAUGACAGCAUCUCUGACUGCCAAGCUACCAUCAUGCAGAUUGAGGAGACCAAGGAGGAGCUGGACUCCACGGACACCUCGGUGGUGAUCAGUUCCUGCUCCCUUGCUGAAGCCCGGCUGCUGCUGGACAACUUCCUGAAGGCAUCCAUCGACAAGGGCCUGCAGGUGGCACAGAAGGAGGCCCAGAUCCGCCUCCUGGAGGGACGGCUGAAGCAGACGGAUGUGACCGGCUCCUCGCAGAACCACCUCAUCCUGGAUGCCCUGCGGGAGAAGGCUGAGUCGCACCCUGAGCUCCAGGCGCUGAUUCACAACGUCCAGCAAGAGAAUGGCUACACCAGCACAGAUGAGGAGGUCUCUGAAUUCAGCUUGGCUUCAGAUGGGAGCAUCUCCCAGUCUUUCAGCAUGAAGGGCUCAGCGAGUCAGGAUGAUUUCAAGUUCAAGGGAGAGCCCAAGCUCUCGGGGCAGAUGAAGGCAGUGUCAGCUGAAUGUCUAGGACCCACGCUGGACAUCUCCACCAAGAACAUCACCAAGUCCUUGGCAUCGCUCAUGGAGAUCAAAGAGGAUGGGAUCAGCUUCUCAAUCCGAGACCCCUAUUACAAGGAGAAGGUGUCGCGCACCGUCAGCCUGCCCACACGGGGGAGCACUUUUCCCAGACAAUCUCGUGUCUCAGACACGUCGCCUCUCACAAGGAGGAAAUCCUACGACCGUGGGCAACCUGCUAGGCCUCCAGAUGUCGGCUUCACUCCUCCCUCAUCCCCACCCACACGCCCUCGCAACGACCGCAAUGUCUUCUCUCGUCUCACGAGCAACCAGAGCCAGGGGUCUGCCUUGGACAAGUCUGAUGACAGCGAUUCCUCUGUCUCGGAGGUGCUGAGGGGCAUCAUUAAUCCAGUGGGUGGCACCAAGAACGCGCGGACAGCCCCGCUGCAGUGCGUCUCUGUGGCAGAAGGACACACCAAGCCUGUGCUCUGCCUGGAUGCCACCGAUGAACUGCUUUUCACUGGCUCCAAAGACCGGAGCUGUAAGAUGUGGAACUUGGUGACUGGUCAGGAAAUCGCUUCCCUCAAGGGUCACCCAAAUAACGUCGUUUCCAUCAAGUACUGCAGCCAUACGGGGUUGGUGUUCACCGUGUCCACGUCGUACAUCAAAGUGUGGGACAUCCGGGACUCAGCCCGCUGCAUCCGCACCCUCACGUCUUCUGGCCAGGUGAUCUCUGGGGAUGCGUGUGCUGGGACAACCACACGCACUGUGACCAGUGUGCAGGGGGAGCACCAGAUCAACCAGAUCGCUCUCAACCCCACUGGCACCACCCUCUAUGCUGCCACUGGAAACUCCGUCCGCAUCUGGGAGCUGAGCAGGCUGCAGCCUGUUGGAAAGCUGAGUGGCCACAUUGGGCCCGUGAUGUGUCUCACGGUAAACCAGACUGCAAGCAACCAUGACCUGGUGGUGACAGGCUCCAAAGAUCACUACGUCAAGGUGUUUGAGAUUGCUGAGGGCGUGGUGGGCAAUGUCAGCCCCACUCACAACUUCGAGCCCCCUCACUACGAUGGCAUCGAGUGCCUGGCCAUCCAGGGAGACGUCCUCUUCAGCGGCUCCAGGGACAACGGCAUUAAAAAGUGGGAUCUGGAGCAGCAGGAACUUCUCCAGCAAAUCCCAAAUGCACACAAAGACUGGGUCUGUGCCCUGGCCUUCAUCCCUGGCCGCCCCAUGGUGCUGAGUGCCUGCCGAGGAGGCAUGAUCAAAGUCUGGAAUGUGGACAACUUCACCCCGGUUGGGGAGAUCAAAGGGCACGACAGCCCCAUCAACGCCAUCUGUACCAACUCCAAGCACAUCUUCACUGCCUCCAGUGACUGCCGGGUAAAGUUAUGGAAUUACGUGCCUGGGCUCACCCCUUGCCUUCCACGACGCGUCCUUGCCAUAAAGGGCCGUGCUACUAGUCUGCCUUGACCCUCCUGCUCUUUCUGACUCUCUUGCACAUGCACUCUUCUGUCUUUUCUUUCCUUUUCUCUCUCUCCAUCUCCUCUUCCCUCUGUCUUUCUUGCUGUUGCUUGCUUUUGUUCUUCUCUCUUUCUUUCUCUCUCUCUGGUCUGAGCUGCUUCUUAACGCGACCUGACAGUGAAGCUCUGGAGUGGGAGGAGGUUACCCACCAGCUCCAACUAGGAACUGCAGAACUGCUAGAAGAUGUGGCAGGAGGGUGAAGGCUGGGGUUCACCCCAUCAUCUAUGGGAACUCUGCCCGGGGAUGGGGAUUCUUGUGCCUGACCCGGCAGGGUGGGUGAGAUGCAUCUUGUCCCAUCCUUGAGCACUGGCAGAUCCCGUGAAGAGGCAGCUCAACAAAGCACCGUCCGCUCCACUUUGCCUCCUGCUGCAGUUUCUCAGUGGUUUUCCAGUGACCAGGAAAGACUUCAUCUCUUUUCUCACCCACCCUACUGUGCUGCCUGCCAGGUCUGUGAGGGGUUGGAGUCCAGGUGAGCUUCCUGGCUCCUUUUCAGAGACAUCCAGCUCCCUCCUGUCUCUGUGGCUUCAUGCAGCCUCUGCCUGGAUUUGCUGCUUUUGUCCCCGCUGUCUCCAGGCUGGUUCCUGCAAGAAUCUUUCUCUGUUCCACAGUCUCAAGGCUAUUUGAAGUCUUCUGGCCGGGACCAGAGGUCAGGUUGUUCUUUUUUCCUUUGGAGACAUUUCCUGUGGGACGUCCUCUGUGCUGCAGUGGAUCUGCAGAAGGACCUUCAGUUAGUUCCAUCCUUCCCUAACCUCAGCAUACCUGGCUGCAGCAGCUGGAGCUGCACAUCUGACCUGGCUCACCCGGAGCUUCCCUGCUGUGCCAUCACACCACUUCCAGCCCAACCCGCUGUGCUUCCCUGCAGCCAUCUCUGAAUUCCGACUGCAAACUCUGCUGACCCUCUCCCCUUCACCGUGUGCCCACUUUGCUCUGUGGUGGGGUAGGGAAGGGCUUCUCACCCUCAGCUACGGCUGCAGGUGGGUGAGGAUGGAGAUGGCUGUGCCAGGAGCAGAGCGCAGACGGGUUGGAUGCUGGUCCUGCACGAGUCCCCCCGUGGCUGCACGCCUGAAGGACAAUCCUACAGAGAAUGAUUGUGCACAGCUGGAGCCCUUCAGAAGGCUGAAGGCUCAGCCCAGGAGUGUCAACGAGGAUGCAGCCUCUCCAGCUGCCCUGCUCGCUUUUCUCUGGUCAGGGGGCCAACAAGGCCCUGGUCUCACACUGGAGCUUUCUUCUACCUCUCCUGUGGUCCCUCGGAGCAUCCCCUGCUCCAUCUGCCCUGCCCCACGCUGGGCUCGUGAGGGAACCGGCUGUGUUGACCCUGGGAGUGGUGUUCUCACCUUAUGUGCUCUCACUUCACUUUUGUCACUGAAGAAUCAACGUUUGAACUCGGAUUUAAGGAUUUCUCUGUGUGAUCCCAUUGGUGCUGAGCUAGGAUCUCUGAGGAGCUCCAGGAUGUGCCCCGUAAAGCACAGACCGAUUUCCUUCUGCUUUCUGCAGCCCUGUUUUUUUGUCACCAGCCCUUGUUCAAACCACUGCAGGAGGGAAUUUCUGCACACCUUGAAACAGGAGCAUCUCUACUGACUUGAUGAAAUCUUUCUUCUUUUAUCAUUUGGGGGGGGGGGGGAUGAAGAAAAUGCUGUUUACACGCCCCGCUGGAGGGCAUGAUGGCUGCACAGGGUCACCCUGCCCAGGACAGGAUGGUGACUGCACCUGGGUCACAGCUGAGCCCUGUGCUGUGGGGCUGGGGGUGGGCAGAAAGGCUCAGAGGCCCCACGGCUGCCCCGUGACGCACAGCACCAGGAGGUGGAGGCAGUGCUGCCCUCUCAGCCUGUUCUUUUUCAUUGGGAUGUGUGUGUCUGCGUUUGUGUGGCUGUAGCUGGGUGUGCCAUGGGCAUUGGUGUCUAAGUACCUGUGUGGGUUGCUAUUUCCCAUGUGGAAGAGUGACUUUUUUUUGGGGGGGAGGGGGAUGUUGAUUUGGUUUAGCUACCUCACGGUGCAAGCUGGGUGCUGUUGUCAUUGGUUUCAUUUUGGGGGUGGGCUGGGGAGGCUUUGUUUGUAUUCCUUUGGCCAUUGCUGUUAUGGAUUUGAUACUUGAGUUUGUCCCAAAGACGCGCGGCCUCACUGCGCCUUGCUGUGUUUCUGAGCCCCUCCUGUUUCCUCCUGUUGCUCGGCACAGGGCUCUGUGCUUCUGCUCUUAGGCGUGGGGUCGAUGUGCAGCCUGAGGGCAGUGGUUCCCUUGAAGCACAGGCAGGUCCCUCUGUGGGGCUGAGCUCAGCCUGUGUUCUUGCCUCUGCUCUCAUAGAGAUUUGCUGUGGGUGCAAAGCAGCUCUUCUUGUCUGGGCAAUGCCAUGCAGGGCACGUUAUUGGAAUGGGCUGGUCCUGGUCCCUGUGUUCCAGAACCUGCUGUGAUGUGGUAGCAGCAGGCAGCUGGUGCUGUAACAGCCUCUGCCCGAAACGGAGGCAGCCUGAGAUGAACUGGAUCUCAUAGGUGCUGUUAGAGUUGUUGUCCCCAAAAUGUAGUUCAAUCUAGAUCCUGUCCCAGGCACUGAGCAUCACUAGGACAGCCCUGGGAAGCUGGCGUGGGGCUCUGCCCUGCUCCCCAGCACUGGGGGCUGUGGGAGGGGGCAGCUCUGAGCCAUGCUGUUGGGGGGGGGGGGGGCAGGUCCUCCGAACGCUAAAGCACAAAGUCCCACCCCAGCUGAAGUCCACCAAGUGUGGCCCCUUGGCCUCUGGUCCUUCGGCUCCUUCCCUUGCUGUGGCUGCCCUGCCUCUGCCUGGGCGGGCACCAGAAGGCCCUGGGGCUGCAUUUGCCCAUUUUGCCAUCUGUUCCAGGGCCCAGGGUACAGUGCCUGCAGGCCCCGGCUGGGGCUGUGGUUUUGGACGCAGAGGGUGAAGGUGAAGGGCUGGGAUGCAGAUGGGGUCGGUCCUUUCGCACUGUGCUGGGUGCUCCUUUGGGGCUCAGGACUUGCACUGCUUUCUUGUGGUCUCUGAGCCUCUCUGCACCUCGUUUUGCUUCUCCCUCGGUGCCUUUGUUUGUGCCAAGCAUGGGGAUGAUAGCUGCUGUCCUGGGAGCUCCUUCCCUUGCUGAGAGCUGGGGGACUUUUUGUUCCUGGGCUCUGCCUCUUGCUCCUGAAUCUCCUCCUCCCAGCACACAGGGGCCAGCUUCGCGCUCUGCUGAGGGCACAGCACUGCCUGGAGCUGAGCUUUGCACAGAAGGGAAGGAGUUGACUCAGAAGCCCAAAUUUUCGGGCCCCCAAACCACUGUGAGCCCAUCCAGGGAGCUGCAGCUUUCCCAGCACAAACGACAAGGCUGUAGGGCUGUCCUCAGCCCAGCCAGCUGCGAGAAGCACAAGGGUACGUUGUUCCUCCCCAGCACCUCCAAGCACAGCUGCUUUGGGCUCCCUGCCUCAGCGUUCUGCUCCCAUCCCACGCUGGAUGGGGUCCAGGUACGAUCCCACAGAGCACUUGUCACUUCUCUCCUUGCCUUGCAGCCUGCUCACUGCUGCCUUGCUCCAUCCUGCAGGCACAUCGCCUCCCGCUCCCCCAGGUCUCGCACCCCGUGGUGCUCCCGCUCCAGCUGGGAGGGAUCCCAGCACAGUCCCACUCCCCCCAGGCCUUGUCCCCAGCAAAGCGUCACCCUUUGCCUCCCUGCCACCCCGGGGCUUUGUCCGCAUUCCCAGUGGAGCAGCUCUGCCCCUUUAUCUGCUCACUGCUCCGCAUCCCACGACCGCCCUGCUCUGCUCCCUGCGCUGCACCGCCUGCUCCAGCAGCCCAUCCCGCUGCACAACUGGCACAGCAGCAGGUGCCUUUUCUUGCUCGGAGCUGUUGUACAGAGGCCAACUCCUGUUUGUGAAGGCUUUUUUUGUCUCUGCUGGGUGGCGCAGCCCAGCGCUGCGGUCUGGGUUUGUCAGAGGACAAGGUGUGUACAAAUAUUUUAUACCUCGAUGUGUUCCUGUAAAUAGUGUAACUUAUUUCGGUCUCAUGAUGUAUGUUUGUUUGGAUUUUUUCCCAAUGGAUGUGUUUGUUCCUUGCCUCUUUGUCUUCGCAAAUAAAGCGUACUGAAAGGAA